rnacentral:rRNA from 1 species
CCUACGGGAUGCAGCAGUGAGGAAUAUUGGUCAAUGGGCGCGAGCCUGAACCAGCCAAGUCGCGUGAGGGAAGACGGCCCUACGGGUUGUAAACCUCUUUUGCCGGGGAGCAACGGGCGCCACGUGUGGCGCCACUGAGAGUACCCGGAGAAAAAGCAUCGGCUAACUCCGUGCCAGCAGCCGCGGUAAUACGGAGGAUGCGAGCGUUAUCCGGAUUUAUUGGGUUUAAAGGGUGCGUAGGCGGAGCGUUAAGUCAGUGGUCAAAUUGAGGGGCUCAACCCCUUCCCGCCAUUGAAACUGGCGAUCUUGAGUGGAAGAGAAGUAUGCGGAAGGCGUGGGGUAGCGGUGAAAUGCAUAGAUAUCACGCAGAACCCCGAUUGCGAAGGCAGCAUGCCGGCUUCCUACUGACGCUGAAGCACGAAAGCGUGGGGAUCGAACAGGAUUAGAUACCCGGGUAGUC